rnacentral:rRNA from 1 species
GAUGAACGCUGGCGGCGUGCCUAAUACAUGCAAGUCGAGCGAACAGAUGAGGAGCUUGCUCCUCUGACGUUAGCGGCGGACGGGUGAGUAACACGUGGAUAACCUACCUAUAAGACUGGGAUAACUUCGGGAAACCGGAGCUAAUACCGGAUAAUAUAUUGAACCGCAUGGUUCAAUAGUGAAAGACGGUUUUGCUGUCACUUAUAGAUGGAUCCGCGCCGCAUUAGCUAGUUGGUAAGGUAACGGCUUACCAAGGCAACGAUGCGUAGCCGACCUGAGAGGGUGAUCGGCCACACUGGAACUGAGACACGGUCCAGACUCCUACGGGAGGCAGCAGUAGGGAAUCUUCCGCAAUGGGCGAAAGCUUGACGGAACAACGCCGCGUGAGUGAUGAAGGUCUUCGGAUCGUAAAACUCUGUUAUUAGGGAAGAACAAAUGUGUAAGUAACUAUGCACGUCUUGACGGUACCUAAUCAGAAAGCCACGGCUAACUACGUG